GUAUAUAAAGGUGAUUUGUCUGUAAAAUAUGUCAUCUCAUUGGUCCCCAGGGUUGAGUAGGCUUAUCUGCAUGUCUAGACAGAUGCCCACUUCCUCCCCCAGCACUCCAUGUGUAUCCUUGAUAUGUAAAGUAAAAGUUUUGGAACAUGAGGAAAACCUUAUGACCAAAAUUUAGGGCAGAAUUGCUUAGACUAAACACACACACACACACACACACACACACACACACACACACACACACCUAUAAAAUGAGAUUUACAGGUUAAAAUUCAUCAGUAU
rnacentral:snRNA from 1 species